ACAGCCAUAACAAAAGUGCUAGGGAGGUUUCUAGCACAACCAGAAGGUUGCCGGAAACUCGCUUAAAUAUAGAAUUAAAUGGUAGCAAUAAACACAAGGUUUUAGUAGCCUAAAUGGAACACAGUCUUUGAUAUCUAUCCAGGACAUUAAUGACACCUGCCUAAAUAAAACUGGGUUGGGGGGUGGGGAAAAUCGGUUUCAGGUCCCUUAAUUAACUAGUACUUGUGGUACUAGUUCUCAACGUCUCCAGGGCUAGCAGUGGAUUUUCAGGAGAUUAAAUUAACAGUCCAGGAUUCACCUGAAGAUGAAAGUCAUUGCAUAUGGUCAGCUGGAUACAAAUAAAAUUUUGAAAAAAAAUCUAAAAUAUUGAUGAUUUUAAAGGGGAAAAAAAAAAAGAUUUCAGACACAAGUUUUGCAUUCUGCUACCUUAAACCUUUUUUGCAUAUUUUAGUUUUCCACAUAGCUUGAAUCUAUAAUAGAAGCAUUUGGCCAUUUUCAUAAUUAAAAAUAACAGCUGAGCUAUUAUUGGGAAAUUAGCUAUGGCUUUCCAUUCCCCGGUCCUCAUCCCAGUCAAAUAAAACAGCUUCCCUGUGAAUUAUGUGAUAUUUUGUAAGGGGUCCAUAAAUGCCAUUGGAAAAAUUGUCCUGAUCCAUGAUGUCAAAAAUCCUUUUUAAAAGCAUUUGGUGCUUUAUUUACAAAUUAUAUUUAAAUUAACAUUAAUCCUGGUACUAUAUGCCCAGCAUAUACCCAGUACUCUGAGCAUGUGCUUUCCUGAAUAUAAAAAUGCAAGAAAAUUAAAGUAUAAAUCUAUAGUAGUUCCCACUAAUACCAAGGAUCUGAGUUAACCACCAAGAGCAAGGAAAUCCAGAGUGAGGGUUACAAAUCUGCCUUUAAUGCAUCCCUUUGGUCCUUGGUGUUACAAGUGUCUCCAAACACCCAGACGUGGUUCUCUCACAUGGGCUGGAAUUCAUAGGUAGGUAUAAUGGGCUCAGUUACUCUCUUGUGGCCAGGGAUUGGGUGUUACAUUACUAAAUAUUCCCGCACAAAUGGUAGGAACUUGGAACCUGUUGGCUUCCAGAAGUUAACGAUGAGCUUCAACAUUAAAACAGCUUCAAGAGCCUGAGAAUAUAUUUAUUAAAGAAGGAGACUCAUGACAAGUAAAUGAACAUGUUUGAAGUGACAGCACAUAAGCUUUCUGGUAUAGAAGCAAGGCUGCUAGUGUUACUUGCAGUACAAAAUGGAUCAGAAACAAAGCUGGAAACGCAACCUUUUAUUUCAGAACAAGCCCUUUAAUCAUUACAUAUUCUUGAAAAAUACAAAAUCUAGUUGACCAUUAAUGUUUAACAUCAUGUUAGUUACUGGGGCAUCUAGUAAAAAAAAUAAUUUUCAUUUUAUAAGUUACAUUCUUGAAAGGAAAAAAGCUUCAGGACUGUUUGGGGCUGUUAGUAAUUAUAUCAGAGAAACUUGAAUGCUUAAACUGAAAUGAAUAUUUGUUUGCAUUUGUAAUGCAGUAAAGAAUUAGUUGAUGACUGCUCACUAAAAUAUGUUUCCCACUGGUCCAAGUCCUACUUUGUACUGAGAAAAAUUAAUGUCUAAUCAUAUGAAAAUGUUACAAGAUGGUUUAAGACACAUAAGAAAAAAGUAUUUGGCAUGCAUUUUUCUUUCCAAACAAUAUUUUGUAUUUUUAUCUUGUAUACAUAUUUAAAACACAGAGAUCCAUAAUAGGAAAGACCAAACUUCAACAAUAAAAAUAUUUCAGCAUCAAAAUGGUUAAUAGUGAGUAUUAUAGCUUCAAAAGAGCCUAUUGGCUAACCUUAAAGGAUGCCCUGCAAUUGUUAAACUCAUCAGAUGAAACUACCUUUCUCAGCUAGCCCUUACAUUUGUCUGGCUAACAGUAAAAAUACUACAAUAAAUCGGUAACAUAUGUUUCCAGACAAGAAUAAGUGAUAUAAAUAAAGAGUCAAGAGACAUAGCCCCUCAAGAACAAUGUGAAAGAUUUAAACUUUCAAUGUAUUAAUUAAUCGAUUAACAUGUUAGAAGUAACUGGAGAGUGUUAUUUUGUUGUUUGUUAAUAUCAUUCCUUAUUUUUCUCUUCUUCUCUUCAGAUUGCAUUUUAAAUCAAAAUGUUCUCCGUGACUGCCUGCUUUGCAGCAUUAGGUGUUUUUAACAAAUGAACACUUCCUUGGGUUGAUCUAAUGACUGUGCUGUAAAGGUGAAAAAACCUGCAUUUCUCAGUCACGGCAGGAUUUCAUUGGCAGAAAGGUACUGUCAGACUAACUUCAUGGGACCAAGUUCUUGCUGAAUGGAGUUCCGCCAGCAGAGAACAUAGGUCAUAUGUUACCUGGUACAUCAUACAUAUCUUCUCCUUCCCCUUCUAUUUUGACCUUACUGAAGUGAAGUAUUUUCUCUACAGUAUGGCUGUAUAGUCAAAAACCUCUCUUGCAUAUUUAAAAAUUAAAAAUGUGGGAGUUUGCAUUACCAACGUCUAAGUUUUCCUUUGUGGCUGUCUCAUCCAAUUAUCAAAAAGGUACAGCAAUUCCUUUAAAAACACAGGUAGAACAUACAUAAACCCACUGUUGAAACAUUCACAGCUUGCAAAAAAGCCCUAUAGAUGUUCCCCAAUCAAGUUUACGUACAUUGUCUUCCAAAAUAUUAUUCCACAAGCUUUAAGAAUUAUAAGGCUGCUUAUAGAUAAAACACAUUCCAGGUAGCGGGUAUCAAAGGCCCUUUCAGAGAUCUAGAAUGAUCUUGUCAUUAAAAUAAUAAGCAGGACUGUAAAUUUAAAAAAAAAGAGAAAAAGAAAAAUGUGAUUAUAUAACACAUCCUGCAGUAAUCAAUUUUACCUCCGAUAUCAUCCUUUUGUUUUCAAAAUGCUAAAUAAACAAUACAUAAUGCAUCCCUCAUCAGCCAAAACCAUGAGGGCUCUGUGCUCAAAUAACAGGAAACAUAUUCAAUUUUCCUAACAGAAGACAGUUCAUUAAGCUGUGCCACAUCAAAUAAAACUUUAAUUUCUCCAGCAUCAGAGUCGCAAUGAAAGCAAUUGAGGAAGAUGAGCCAUAUGGUACUUCUAUCAGCAAACACAUAUUGCUCAUUCCCCCAAAGUUUUCUAAUUCUGCUCCCCAGACCUGUGUAAUAUAGAUAAUGUGCUCUGAGAGCAGCAACCAUGAGCUAUCUGGUGUACACUUCUAAUACUGUAUUUAAUGGGAAAUAAUGAAUCAUAAAAGCCUGCAGAAGACGGCUUUUGCUAACCUAAAUCUCAGCUGUAAUUUCAUUGUUCUGUGCCUAAGAUGCUGUUUGCCCUUUCCAAACAACAGCAGUUGAGCAUAAUUAUGCGGCUUCAAACCUGGGCUGGAGGAAAAACCUUCAUAUUAUAACCAAGUUUCUGUUAACUCUUCAAAUUCUGAACUUGAUGUGACUCUAAUACCAAACUGAGAACUUUGGGUGAUGCUUUAGAGGUCGUAUAAAAAAGUAUAUAGAAAACCAUUCCAGUGGAUAACCACAUAAAUUAAACUUAUGACUCCUAAAUCUGGCCCUAAAAGCAACAAGGGAUGUCAAUGACAAAUUAGGAAAUCUGCUUGACAUGGAGAUAUCUGACAUUCAUCUACCGUAGUAUGUAAAAGUGCCACAACCAUAUAACACACUAAACAAUUUUUUUAGGUAUGUCUUUUUUUGUUGUUGCCAGACACAAAAGUUAGGGUUAGAUCUUUGAAUAAAUGCCUGAAGUAACUUGUCUAAGUUUAAUAAUAUUCUUGCUUUUCUUAUGAUCCAUUUAACUCCAUUAUAAAGAUAAGGUUAGCAGUUUAAUAGCACUGGUGUAAUAUCUGCCCAUGUGUUUGCUUCACCUACAUGUUAGUAAACCUGGGUGUAGGUGAAGGAGUCAGUUUUUUUAAAGGAUGUCUGUAGGCAAGUCUAUAUACAUUAAUAUUUAUACACCUCAAACGAAUUAAGAUUACAAAAAAAUAACAUGGCUUAAUAAUGCUUGGAGAAUUUCUUAACCUCAUUUGAAGUAAUUUCUUUUCCCCCUCCCCAUCCAAAAUAAAAUAAAAAAUACAAGACUAAUUUCAAACAUUGUCUAGAUACACCAUUUAUACAUAUUGAAAACAUAUUUUAGUGGCUGUGUUUGUUUUGGCAAUAUAUGAACCAAAAACAAUUAAAUUAAAAAGAGAGACUUUUAAAAGUUAGAGAUUGCCUUUUAAAAGCUUAUUAAAAUCAGCAUGUUAGAUGUCUGUCUUUGAAUUAGCUUUACAGACUUGAUUGCCUUCAUUAAAGCUGACUGUUUGGGUGCUGCUUCAUGAAUGUUCAAGAGUCUGCUUUUUUUUAACUCCCCCCACAACGCUGAUUCUUACUACUUGUCAACUUGUACAUUCUCCUCUUGAUAGCAUUUUAAAGAACGUGUGCUUUUCGGAAGAAGCAUUCACCUCUAUGUGAAACGGUACAACAAAAACCCUGUCAUUAACGCAACAAAACGACCAACAGCGCAAGGAGGAGGUAGCUGCCUUACCUCCCAAAGAGGAAAAGAAUACCUGAAGGGAGAGGGAACUUACACACCAGCUAAAUGAAAAAGGGCACUUUUCCCCUCAGAGAGACGAAGAAGAAAUUGCACAUCAGAAAUCAUUUGGGGCCAGAUCUGCAAGCGUACUGAGGCUCCUAGCUCCUGGGAAUUUGAUGAGCUGGGCUCCUGUGCCCUCGCCUUUAGGAUCCUUUUUGUGGUGUACAAUAAUCUGAAGAAAUGCAGUAUUAAUUUCAAUACCUGGGAAAUUCAAGCACUGAAUUGUCCCCAGUGGUGCUGGGGAUUGAUCAUUUUGAGUAAACUUGCCCGACUAUGGAGGCAGAUAGAUGAGAGACAAAGUGAAAAGAUUGUAACCUAACAUCACCAGGAUCUACUCCUUCCUCCUGGAACUAUUUGCCACAGCUGCAGUCAAACAUGAAGAUCUCAGAUUGGUUUUUUCAGUCAUGUAUGGAUUCAUGAUGACUCUCAUUUUUACUGGAAGACUUUCAUCCUCAUACCAAAGGACUGGUAUUCAUGUAUAACAAUCAUGACAUGCAGUUGGAAUCCAAGGUGCCUUAUGGAAACCUUGCAGAAUAUAAAAAAAAAAAAACCCUAUUGUUUUCCUCCUUUCUUAUCUACUUUGUGUUAACAUGACCUGUACUGUCAACAGUGAAGAGAAACUUGAUGUCUUUUUUGGGGGGAUAAACCCCCAACCAGACAGAAAUUAAACCCCAAAAGCUAGUGAAGGAUAGGCUGUUGAUACCAUGUAAUGGAAAGAAAACCUAUUUCUGAUAAAAUCUUCAAACACGGAUUUUUUAUAAAUGCUAUUUCUACUUUAACUUUCUCUUCAGAGGAGAUAUGCUACUUUAUAAGCAGUGUAGCUACUGAUGUUACAUAAUGAAAGACAAUUGGUGUCAAAUCAACCUAAACAUACUAUAAAAAUGGAAGAGAAAUAUUUCUUUUUGUCUUUAUUUUGAAAUCUAUCAGUCUUUACAUGUAUGUGUAUUGUAUUGUGGUGUAUGUGUAUGUGUGUGUGGGUGAGACAAAGAAAAUGUAUAUGAUACAUUAUAGAUACAAUCCAUCGUCAUAUGGAUUUUGAUAUCUACUCCAUAAAUUCUUUUAUUUCUGCAGCUGCUUGAUCCAUAUAAUAAUCUACAUUAAUUUUGUAUACCUGACAAUCUCUCCUGUACUCUGCAGACUAAACCAUUUUCACCAUGGCUACUUCUCACGUUCCUAAACCCUUAAGUAACCUUCAUACAGAUUCCAUUUAAAAGAAGGAACUCCUUCCCCAUCCAACUUUGACUUGUUUCCUUUCAAGCAUGGCAGGAACAAACAUUAGGUAAAUAGAGGGACCAAUAUCCAGAUCCAGCUAGAUUUAUUCUUGUACAAGAGAAAGCUUAAUGGUAGGAACCUGAGUUAAAAUAAUUUCAGUGGUACAAGGCGAUGCCUUCUUCACUUGUGCAAUAUACAACUUGUUUUUGCCACUAGUCCUGCAUAGAGCUGUCUUCUCCAUGGCCACACAUGCCUGAGAAAUAUAUAUCCUCCAUACUUUGUUCACAAGAGCUUGAUCCUUCCAGAAAGGGAUAACAGGAAAUGGUGUUGGCUAAGGGUUCAGGGAAAAACAUUUUUAGGUUCUCCUAGUAGCACAAGAGCUGAGGCUAAGGCCCGAGGAGAUGCACGUGUGUUCAGAAGAGAUACAUCCAGUUGUCUAAUGGGAGAGGAAUAAAACUGCCAGCUUCUAGGAUAAAGAGCUUGAGCUAGGAUAUCUAACUGCCAUGAACUGAGGAAAGUAUACAGGAAUGAAGGCUUUGAUUGCACAAAACACCGACUCAUGCAUUUUGAAACUACAUUUGUGAUACUGGCAAAACACAUCUCUAGAAGUCAACAAAAAUUGUAGAUAUUAAGGAAGUCUGAAGAAAGUUUGGCUACCAUUUCCUAUGUGGGAAUAAAGUAUUCAAGGCAUUCAGAUAUUCAAGGGUAAAAAUCUGUCCCAUUUUCUAUUAAGAGUUGAAUUAGUAUGGGCACGUUGGAAAUAUACAUAUUGCUGAAGCCAGAAUAAAUAUAAAUCAUGUUUGUCUUUUGUGCUACUGUAUCUGUUAUUAAAAAGUCUGUGACACAAA